UACGGAGGAUCCGAGCGUUAUCCGGAUUUAUUGGGUUUAAAGGGUGCGUAGGUGGAUUGGUAAGUCAGUGGUGAAAGUUUGCAGCUUAACUGUAAAAUUAGCCGUUGAAACUGCCGGUCUUGAGUGCAAAUGAGGUAGGCGGAAUGCGUCAUGUAGCGGUGAAAUGCUUAGAUAUGACGCAGAACUCCGAUUGCGAAGGCAGCUUACUGGGAUGCAACUGACGCUGAGGCACGAAAGCGUGGGUAUCAAACAGGAUUAGAUA
rnacentral:rRNA from 1 species